rnacentral:lncRNA from 1 species
CCUAUUAUGGAAGGAAGUAAAUGCGGUUCUAGCUCACGGUGAUGGUAGCUUGCGGUGAAGGUUUAGGUGGUAAUGAUUGCCUACCGAAGCUUUUCAUGUGAUCUCUAAAGCAUUCCGUCAAAACGAGACUUGGAUUUGACGACUGAAGAUCACAAAUUUUCGCUCACCUUCAAAUCCUGAGCUAGACCCAAUCACAACAAGAUUUUUUGUUGAACGCAUUGUUACAAAUACCUGAUAAAAUUGAAGCUAACUAUCUGCGCGCGAUAAAUAAUUAUUGAAGGGGCUGUGCAAAGACUGGGGUUGCUCACCUUCUGAGCUGAUGCAGAGGAGUUUGGGGUGGCAUUUUGAUUGUUUAUUCUUAUUCAUGUAUCAUGUAGUUUUAUUUUGAUUCUAAUAGUAAAAGUCAGCUUCUGUUUUUGUGUCAUCUUUUUCUUUCUAUUAUUUAACAAGCGCAUGUGAUACAAAUGCAAGAACUGUAGGGCUCCAUACCAAAAAUGGACCUGUUACCAAUUGUUUAAGAUAAAUGAUUGAAUAUAUUGCAAAGAACCUAACAAAAUAUGUUGAAGCUCCUCUAAAAUAUAUAUAUAUUGAAGCUGGUAGGUUAUUUGACAUCUAUACUGUGGUAUUAUCUUUCUCCUAA